AGCGAACGCUGGCGGCAGGCUUAACACAUGCAAGUCGAACGCCCCGCAAGGGGAGUGGCAGACGGGUGAGUAACACGUGGGAACGUACCCUUUGGUUCGGAAUAACUUGGGGAAACUCAAGCUAAUACCGGAUAAGCCCUUAUGGGGAAAGGUUUACUGCCGAAGGAUCGGCACGCGUCUGAUUAGCUAGUUGGUGAGGUAAUGGCUCACCAAGGCGACGAUCAGUAGCUGGUCUGAGAGGAUGAGCAGCCACACUGGGACUGAGACACGGCCCAGACUCCUACGGGAGGCAGCAGUGGGGAAUAUUGGACAACGGGGGCAACCCUGUUCCAGCCAUGCCGCGUGAGUGAUGAAGGCCUUAGGGUUGUAAAGCUCUUUUACCCGGGACGAUAAUGACUGUACCGGGAGAAUAAGCCCCGGCUAACUUCGUGCCAGCCGCCGCCGUAA
rnacentral:rRNA from 1 species